UACGGGGGGGGCAAGCGUUGUCCGGAAUUAUUGGGCGUAAAGGGUGCGUAGGCGGCACCACAAGUCACUUGUGAAAUCUUUGGGCUUAACCCAAAGCGGCCAAGUGAUACUGUGGAGCUAGAGUGCAGAGGGGGCAACUGGAAUUCCCGAUGUAGCGGUGAAAUGCGUAGAUAUCGCAUGGAACACCUGCGGCGAAGGCGGGUUGCUGGGCUGACACUGACGCUGAGGCACGAAAGCUAGGGUAGCAAACGGG
rnacentral:rRNA from 1 species